CUGCUGCAGGCACUGGCACCUUGGGGGAAGUUCGGUGUGUUCUGGGUCUUUCAGAAAACCUUCAGUGUCUCCAAGGGCUCAGCCAGCCCCAGCCACAUUUUGAGGAGGAGGAACUUUUUUCUUGUGUGUUGACUAACAAUUAGGAAAGGUUUAUGCAUAACUGACUGAAGGAAACUGAAAAUUAGCUGGCUAGACACCAGCUGCUGCUGCUGAUAUGGCCAAGGCUUUUCUUCGCUCUGCAGAGAGGAAUAUAUUGCUGUCUCAGGAAGGGAACACAGCUUGUCCCAUGACAUCUUUGCCUUCACAUCCUCUCCAUGGCUGAGUUAUGGCUGCAGGUUUGGACAGGCAGUCAUUCCAUGGCACCACAUUUACACAAAUUCGGGGUGCAGAGGUUAACAGUGACCCACUUGGUCGACAUUUCUCUCUCUGUAAUAAGACAGAAGUCUUCUCACUGCUGCAGUUUUGUGGAAAUCCGCCUUCCAGCAGAGCAACACUUCCACGAGGAGAAACAUCAUCUGAUGGUGAAAAUUAAGCCUCAGAAAACCUGGCUGAUGUUCAGAGGAUGAGAUGGAAGCCUCAGCAAAGAAUCAAACUGAAGAUAAAUCCAG
rnacentral:lncRNA from 1 species